rnacentral:rRNA from 1 species
GCAGUAGCCGCGGUAAUACGUAGGGUGCGAGCGUUAAUCGGAAUUACUGGGCGUAAAGCGUGCGCAGGCGGUUAUAUAAGACAGAUGUGAAAUCCCCGGGCUCAACCUGGGACCUGCAUUUGUGACUGUAUAGCUAGAGUACGGUAGAGGGGGAUGGAAUUCCGCGUGUAGCAGUGAAAUGCGUAGAUAUGCGGAGGAACACCGAUGGCGAAGGCAAUCCCCUGGACCUGUACUGACGCUCAUGCACGAAAGCGUGGGGAGCAAGCAGGAUUAGAUACCCCGGUAGUCCCUGUCUCUUAUAA